AGCAGUAUUACAGACAGUGCUUGCUACAUUUGCAUCUGAACUGUGUAGUUACGAGCAAGUCAAUUAAGCUAUUUGAGCUUCAUGUGUAAAAUGGGGUAAGACAUACCUUGAAAUAUUAUGAGAAUUAGAGAGGACGCAUAUAAAGAACCUGGCAUAGUGGUUGGCAUGGGCUGAUCUGAAUGCACUACAACAGAGGAUUCACUAUCUCAUGGCUUCCUGUUAGUUUCAACCUAAGAGAUCCAAGAGUGGUCCUGAGACAAUGAGUGGCUGGUGCAAGAGUAUGAAAGCCCAACUCCCUCGCUCCAUCUUAGGACAAUUUCUGAGCUCCUGAUUUUCUGUGUUCCUGAUUUUCCCUGUGGGGUCAACUGAUAUUAUUCUGCACAGAGGAUUCAGUACAAAAAAACGUGUGGCUACCUUCUUCAAAAAGCAGGAACAAAGUGCUAUUAGAGGACUAAAGAACUUACUUCUCAGCUUCUGGGAAUGCUGACAGUUGAUGGCUCACAGGCGAAUCCUUCCUUCCAAGUUUCACCCUCAGCUGAAGAGAGCUGCGGAAAUAUAUUAUGACACAAAUCUUCAUACAGAUUAGAGACACAUGAAAUACCUGAAAAUUCUACUUCCACCUAAGGAAAAGAGGAGAACAAGGUUCUUAAUUCAGCACAAGUGCUCUCCAAAAUUCUUUCCUCAGAACUUCAGCCGUUCAGAGGGUGGAGAGUGGGAGGAGCCAGAAGAUCAGGAAAAAUAAUUAAUGAGUACUAGGCCUAAUACCUGGGUGAUGAAAUAAUCUGCACAACAAACCCCCAUGACACAAGUUUACCUAUGUAACGUACCUGUACUUGUACAUCUGAACUUAAAAUAAAAGUUUAAAAAAUACAUAAAAAUCAACAAUAAAAGAAAUUCUU
rnacentral:lncRNA from 1 species